AACCAGCUGCAGUACUUUUUGUGUGGUGUGGAAGUGUUUGUUUUUUGCAAUAGAUUUUUGUUGCAGUUUAGGUUUGUAUUUUCUUUGUUUUGUAGUGCUUAUUAUGAAGGUUCGUAGGUUUAUGUCUGUAGGCCAGGCAGGUCAUUAAACUUAACAAAGAAUAAGUAAGUCGGGAGAGGGGAAUAGAAAUCUCCACAUACAUAUUCUUAAAAGCUGUAACACUCACCACAAAGAUCUGCUGAGUGAAGUCUGUGAGACGAACGCACCAAGUCUGGACGCUCUGUCAGGCUACAUUUUACGUUUUUGGGAGUGAGCAGGUGUUAUUCUGUUCCCCGGGUUGGUUUUGAAGUCAUGGCUCUCAAGUAAUUUUUGUGCUUCUCAAAAGUGCUGGAAUUGCAAAGAUCAACAUCAAAAGCUACAAACUGGAAACAGAGGAAGAUACUAGCCCCGUGUUUCUGAUUCAGUAUCACUGAAAUACUUUGGAACCAUAUAAAGGGCAAAGUACAUUCCACAUGUUGAAGGACAGUGCCUGGCCCUGUGGGGUGUCAUCCCCAAGCUGUAGGCAUAGUGGCAACCCAGGGGUUCAUCUCAACUCCCAUCAGAGUUCAAACAUUGAAUUAGUUGUGCAAUGGAAGGAGUAUUACCAGGACCCAGAUGCAGCCCAAGGAAAAAAGAAAACAAAAGGAGACACACACAGAACCCUACAGUCACCAAGCACUCAUAUCUGACAAAUCAGCAUUUAUCUUUUUACCUUCCUGGCAUCUGGCCCAUCCAGUCCUCACUCCUCCAACCCCCUCUGCUGCACUAGGCUCAGGUUAUAAGGUCCAGAUCCAGACAAAAGUGACUGCAUCUUGUAAAGGACCCCAGCACCCCUUGGGCUUUGCCUGAGUGUUGUAAUUGGCAUGACUGUGCUGGAGAGCACGCCUUGUCUUGGCCCUGGGGACCUGAGCACAAAUUCUCUUUUUAAGAUGUGUGUGUUAG
rnacentral:lncRNA from 1 species